rnacentral:rRNA from 1 species
GACGAACGCUGGCGGCGUGCUUAACACAUGCAAGUCGAACGGAAAGGCCCUGCUUUUGUGGGGUGCUCGAGUGGCGAACGGGUGAGUAACACGUGAGUAACCUGCCCUUGACUGUAGGAUAACUUCAGGAAACUGGGGCUAAUACCGGAUAGGAGCUCCUGCUGCAGGGUGGGGGUUGGAAAGUUUCGGCGGUUGGGGAUGGACUCGCGGCUUAUCAGCUUGUUGGUGGGGUAGUGGAUUACCAAGGCUUUGACGGGUAGCCGGCCUGAGAGGGUGACCGGCCACAUUGGGCCUGAGAUACGGCACAGACUACUACGGGAGGCAGCAGUGGGGAAUAUUGCACAAUGGGCGGAAGCAUGAUGCAGCAACGCAGCGUGCGGGAUGACGGCCUUCGGGUUGUAAACCGCUUUCGCCUGUGACGAAGCGUGAGUGACGGUAAUGGGUAAAGAAGCACCGGCUAACUACGUG